UGUAGUCAUAUGCUUGUCUCAAAGAUUAAGCCAUGCAUGUCUAAGUAUAAACAACUUUAUACUGUGAAACUGCGAACGGCUCAUUAUAUCAGCAAUAAUUUAUUUGAUGGUUCCUUACUACAUGGAUAACUGUAGUAAUUCUAGAGCUAAUACAUGCGUAAAGGCCCGACUCUUGCGGGGAGGGCUGUAUUUAUUAGAUAAAAAACCAAUGCGGGCUCUGUCCGGUUUUGUGGUGAAUCAUAGUAACUUUUCGAAUGGCAUGACUUCACGUCGGCCAUAUUUCAUUCAAAUUUCUGCCCUAUCAGCUUUCGACGGUAGUGUAGUGGACUACCGUGGCGUCAACGGGUAACGGGGAAU
rnacentral:rRNA from 1 species